rnacentral:sRNA from 1 species
UGACACCGUUGUUUCUCGGCCAUCUGG